GGUAAAGUAGUUUAAUGUUUAAAAUGGUGCUUUUGUAAUGCAUUGUUAGGAUUUCCUUUUUUCCU
rnacentral:tRNA from 1 species